rnacentral:tRNA from 1 species
GGCGCUCUAGCCCAACAGGUAGAGGCACUAGUCUGAGAGGCUAGACAGUGCGGGUUCGACUCCCGUGGGCGCUAC